ACAUGCAAGUCGAGGGGCAUCAUGAGGUAGCAAUACCUUGAUGGCGACCGGCGCACGGGUGAGUAACACGUAUCCAACCUGCCGAUAACUCGGGGAUAGCCUUUCGAAAGAAAGAUUAAUAUCCGAUAGUAUAUUAAAACCGCAUGGUUUACUAUUAAAGAAUUUCGGUUAUCGAUGGGGAUGCGUUCCAUUAGUUUGUUGGCGGGUAACGGCCCACCAAGGCGACGAUCAGUAGAGGUUCUGAGAGGAAGGUCCCCACAUUGGAACUGAGACACGGUCCAAACUCC
rnacentral:rRNA from 1 species